AGCGAACGCUGGCGGCAGGCUUAACACAUGCAAGUCGAGCGGGCGUAGCAAUACGUCAGCGGCAGACGGGUGAGUAACGCGUGGGAACGUACCUUUUGGUUCGGAACAACACAGGGAAACUUGUGCUAAUACCGGAUAAGCCCUUACGGGGAAAGAUUUAUCGCCGAAAGAUCGGCCCGCGUCUGAUUAGCUAGUUGGUGAGGUAACGGCUCACCAAGGCGACGAUCAGUAGCUGGUCUGAGAGGAUGAUCAGCCACAUUGGGACUGAGACACGGCCCAAACUCCUACGGGAGGCAGCAGUGGGGAAUAUUGGACAAUGGGGGCAACCCUGAUCCAGCCAUGCCGCGUGAGUGAUGAAGGCCCUAGGGUUGUAAAGCUCUUUUGUGCGGGAAGAUAAUGACGGUACCGCAAGAAUAAGCCCCGGCUAACUUCGUGCCAGCCGCCGCUGUAACAC
rnacentral:rRNA from 1 species